rnacentral:rRNA from 1 species
UACGUAGGGUGCGAGCGUUGUCCGGAAUUAUUGGGCGUAAAGGGUGCGUAGGCGGCUUUUUAAGUUUGGUGUGAAAUCUCCCGGCUCAACUGGGAGGGUGCGCCGAAUACUGAGAGGCUAGAGUGUGGGAGAGGAAAGUGGAAUUCCUGGUGUAGCGGUGAAAUGCGUAGAUAUCAGGAGGAACACCGGUGGUGUAAACGGCUUUCUGGACCAUAACUGACGCUGAGGCACGAAAGCGUGGGUAGCAAACAGG